UAUUCCAAUAUCUUUUACUAAAUGUGUCCUCAUUUGGCUUCUUUAUGCAUAUGCCUCUGCCUGCCUUUAAAAUACCGUAGAGCAUCCCAUGCUAUUCAUUUUUUAUAUAUUCCUUGGUUGCUAUGACAGUGCUCCCUGUCAGCAACGCCACCCAUGUAUGUAUCUUUCCCUUUUACCGUGUAAUCCACCACACUCUCUGUUUGCUGGGCGUCUCUUUGAGAUGGCAGGCACCUCCCUUUUUUCCUCCCUCUGACCUUCGCUUUGUCUCCCCGCUCUGUCUGGGUGAUCAGCUGUUCUGAGGGGCGUAUCACACGCCGGGAACUAUCUUGCUGACGUCACACGCCGGGAACCUGGCGUGUGAUCAGCUGCUCGGAGGGACGCGUCACACACGGGGAUCCCUCGGCGGCGUCACACGCCGGGAACCACCGCGGUGACGUCACACGCCGGGAACUACCAUGUUCCGAACCCGCCCACGUGCAUGCCUACACGGCGCUUCAUGCACCUGGCACUAACCAGAGGCAGAGGGCGUUGUGUUUUCUCAUGUCCCUCCUCCAUCACUGGACAGUUUUUGUCCCUCCCCUAUUAUCGGACAGCUAUUUAUUCUCACUAGCAGCUAUACCACUACAGCGCUGACUGCCGAUCGUACAACUACACUAUCCCCUUAGUCACGGUAAGACUGCUACCAUUCCCUUGGCUGUCUUGUUCUAGCUCUUAUCAUACCUACUUUGGGCUCUUACCUCUCAGGCUCUGCCCCUUAAUUAUUUUAAUCAUCAUGCUUUCUCCCUAGAUUUGGAUUGUCUAUACCAUUACAUCUUUGAUUUCGUGAACCCUUGGGAUCACCCUUGGCUUACCCCUUGUCCCAUUCAUAGGUAUGCAGUAAUCUCUGUUCUCUUAAUACUAGCCACCUUCAUUGGUUUCUUUCAUAAGUCUUCACAACCAUUUAUUUCCCAGUUAUACCUACAUAUUUCUCCUUUAAUUUUCCCAGGAGUUCUACCUAUACUAACAAUUCCUACUGGGAUAGCUCGUGUUUUUCUGCAGAAGCUUUUUCAAUACCUCUAUACUCCAAUUUGGAUCUCCCCGUAUUUGAGUGUUUGUUUAAGCUUCAAACACUAGGACUACACCUGUUGCCCUCUGGCUGCUUUCCUGCUCUACUUUAAGCAUUUAAGUCUCACAGGUAUAUAUCCCCGUUCUUUUCUCAUUACCUCUUAUAUACUUGACAAUUUUCUACCUUGACCUCAGUGUAUCACACUAUAUUCACUUUUUCCUUUACUCCAUAGGAGCCUUGUGGCUUUGUUCCACAUCCCCUCCUGUUUGCUCAGGGUUUGUCUUCAGGAGUUCUGGGACACGAUCCUGUGUCCCCUUGGUUGGCUCCCUAUCCACCUUAGGGAUUUGGUGCCUCGGUGCUCUUCGGUCCGGUUUGGUCUACACAAGUGGUGAUGGGUACGUGUUUAAAUGUAACGUGUAGAUUUUAAUUUUUGCCCUCUCUUCUGAUAUAUGCACACAUGUCAACUUGCUUUACGAUACAAUUGUUAAUUUACCUUACCAUAUUUUUUUACUGUAUACAGUAUAAUUGUCGCAUGGACACCGGCCCCUGAAGAAGGGACUGAAGUCUUGAAACGCGUAGGGCCUGAACCUAUCCCUGCGGACAUACGCACCACUCAGUGACGUAAUUUGUUUUUAUAAUAAUGUGUUGCUUAUCAUAAUUUUUGUUUUGUAUUCUUUCAUAAUAAAUUUUACUAUACCUUA